AGAGUUUGAUCCUGGCUCAGGAUGAACGCUAGCGGCAGGCUUAACACAUGCAAGUCGAGGGGCAGCGGGGAGGAAGCUUGCUUUCUCCGCCGGCGACCGGCGCACGGGUGAGUAACACGUAUGCAACCUGCCCCUGUCAGGGGGACAACCCGCCGAAAGGCGGGCUAAACCCGCGUACACGCCACCGGGGCAUCCCGGAGGCAGGAAAGGCUUCGGCCGGACAGGGAUGGGCAUGCGGCGCAUUAGGCAGUAGGCGGGGUAACGGCCCACCUACCCGACGAUGCGUAGGGGUUCUGAGAGGAAGGUCCCCCACACUGGUACUGAGACACGGACCAGACUCCUACGGGAGGCAGCAGUGAGGAAUAUUGGUCAAUGGUCGGGAGACUGAACCAGCCAAGCCGCGUGAGGGAGGAAGGUACAGAGUAUCGUAAACCUCUUUUGUCAGGGAACAAAGGCGGGGACGUGUCCCCGGAUGAGUGUACCUGAAGAAAAAGCAUCGGCUAACUCCGUGCCAGCAGCCGCGGUAAUACGGAGGAUGCGAGCGUUAUCCGGAUUUAUUGGGUUUAAAGGGUGCGCAGGCGGUCUGUUAAGUCAGCGGUCAAAGCCCGGGGCUCAACCCCGGCCCGCCGUUGAAACUGGCAGUCUCGAGUUGGAGAGAAGUAUGCGGAAUGCGCGGUGUAGCGGUGAAAUGCAUAGAUAUCGCGCAGAACUCCGAUUGCGAAGGCAGCAUGCCGGCUCCACACUGACGCUGAGGCACGAAGGCGUGGGUAUCGAACAGGAUUAGAUACCCUGGUAGUCCACGCAGUAAACGAUGAAUGCUGGCUGUCCGGGGGGAUUGACCCCUGGGUGGCGAAGCGAAAGCGAUAAGCAUUCCACCUGGGGAGUACGCCGGCAACGGUGAAACUCAAAGGAAUUGACGGGGGCCCGCACAAGCGGAGGAACAUGUGGUUUAAUUCGAUGAUACGCGAGGAACCUUACCCGGGCUCAAACGGGGAGUGACUCAGGCAGAGACGCCUGUUUCCCACGGGACACUCCCCGAGGUGCUGCAUGGUUGUCGUCAGCUCGUGCCGUGAGGUGUCGGCUUAAGUGCCAUAACGAGCGCAACCCCCGCGUGCAGUUGCUAACAGAUAACGCUGAGGACUCUGCACGGACUGCCGGCGCAAGCCGCGAGGAAGGCGGGGAUGACGUCAAAUCAGCACGGCCCUUACGUCCGGGGCGACACACGUGUUACAAUGGGUGGUACAGCGGGAAGCCAGGCGGCGACGCCGAGCGGAACCCGAAAUCCACUCUCAGUUCGGAUCGGAGUCUGCAACCCGACUCCGUGAAGCUGGAUUCGCUAGUAAUCGCGCAUCAGCCAUGGCGCGGUGAAUACGUUCCCGGGCCUUGCACUCACCGCCCGUCA
rnacentral:rRNA from 1 species